rnacentral:rRNA from 1 species
UUAAGAUAAGAUUUCCCUUAGCGCAAGCUAGUAAGGCCACACGUAGACUAUGUGAUUGAUAGGUCGGAGGUGUAAGUGCAGUAAUGUAUUAAGCUGACCGAUACUAAUAGGCCGAGGGCUUGACCAAAAA